AAAAAGCUCUUUCUUCUCUGCACAUUUCAUCUUAAUUUACAAGGAUACCAACUUUUAUUAUCCAUCCAUGCUCCUGCAAAUGGAAUUCAUUAUCUGUUUUUAUCAAAAAUUGAUGAAGUUUAGAACCUGGGCAAAUGUCUUUUGCAAGGAAAGUAGGCAAUUCUUCACAUUUUAAUAGAUACGGCUUACUUUACUUUUAGUAUACUUUUAAUUGCUCGGUCACAGCAAAUAAGAGCAAUAGUUCAGGUUAAUUUAUCUGGAUUUUUCUUUCUGUUUAUCUGAAUGUUGGAAAAAAUAGAAAUAAUCAGAGGGUUUUGCAUGGGAACAAAACAUAGCAUCGUUAACUGACAGUCAACUCGGUUGCAACCAUUAUUUCUAUUAUUUGAACUUUAUCUGAAAGUUACCUUGUGGGAUCUGGAAGAGCUGCUAUUACAGUAUCACCUCAAGAAAAGGGGAUAUAGGACACAGUGACUCUUUAUUAGCAAUCUGACGACACAGGGUAUUUCUCUUCUGGGGCACUUGCUUGAAGAAUUCCGUUAGCCAUUCCUGGAAGGCUUACUCAGAAAAAGUAAGGUACUUUUGCUAGAGAAAUAGUAUUUAGUGUUUGUAAUUAUAUAAUUUUAUAAUGGAGGUGUUGUUAUGAGUAUGAAGGUCCAUUUCAAGAAAUUUAAAAGUUCGUAGGUUAUUUUUAGGAAUAUCUAUUUGGAAACAUCAGUUUUUUAGGUGGAAAAUUUGGUCUUAUGUGGGUUUACUGAUAGUCUUCAGUUCAUCUGCAGAUAUAGAUGGAUAAAUAAUAUAUGUUUAUAUAACAUAUAUGUUUAUAUAACAUAUAAAAUUAGCAUAUAAAAUAUAAGUAAUGGUUAGAAUGCGUAGUUUAUUCUUCUAAAAUGCAUCCAUAUUCUCAUUUUAUUUGCAUUGGUAGCAAUCUGUGGCAUUUUCACAAUUUGCUUCUAGAUGUUCAAAACCAUUUCUGCUCUGAAUGUAUAUAUAAAGAGAACAAGUGAAGAAUAUUUAAAAAUUAACACAUCUGGUUGUUCAUCAGCGCCUACAGGAAAAGUGUUCCAUAUAGAUGUGUAGAGAAUUUAGAAGGAAUAGUGCAAGAUGGGAUGUGUAAGUAAUGCCCUAGGGCAGUGGUCUCCAACUUUAUUGGCACCCAGGACCUAUUUCAUGGAAGACAGUUUUUCCAAAUGGAGUGAGAGUGGAGCAGGGUUGAGCCCAGGCAGUGAUGUGAGUGAUGGGGAGUGGCUGUAAAUACAGAUUUUUUUUUUUUCUCUCCCUCACCUACUGUUUACCUCCUGCUGUGCGGCUCCCCUCAUUCAAGUUUCACGCAGGACAGUUUUUCCAUGGAUGGGGCAGGGCAGGAGGUGUGGACCCCUGUGGCCUGGUCCCUAACAGGCCACAGAGUGGUACCAGUCUGCAGCCUUGUGGGAGAGGACUGCAGCCUUUGGGGAGAAGACCACAGCCCUAGAAGAUUCUAUUUAGGCAAAGACCAGUGCUAACAACUUCCUACAAUUGCCCUCUAUUAUCUGGACAAGAUGAGACCCAGAUACAAUGAAAAAUGUUUCCUGGGAACCUUGGAGUACAACGACUGCUAUAAGUUGUUUGAGUUGAACAUUUCUUUACAUGUAGGAUAUUUAGGUUUGGUUGUAUAUAUAUACAAGCAAAUGUAUUUUAAAUUAAUUUUGUGGAAGUAACAUUAGUCCAUGGCUAUAUUAAUACCAUUUUAAAAGUCUGAUAUUUGAUUUACUUUGGACUGUGUUUUUCAAGAUUUGGGGCAGGUACAGUGCGUGGUGUACAAGGUACUGUGUGGUGGCACAUAGUUACCCUAGUUUCUUUUAUUAUAUACUAGCUCAUUAAACCCACCAUUUAAUGGAUAUCUGCUUGGAAUGAGCCUAUGUAAACAACAUAGAUUGCCCAAAUUUGAGAAAAUUUUAACUAACUAAUCGUGUAAGUAUUUAGGUACUUACAGUUUGGAAAAUAGUGUCUUUUUGUGAGUACACCUUUAUGUACUUAAAUACAAAACUCUGGUUGUGUUACUGUUGUGGUUUUGUAUUUGUGUGUCUCCUAAAGCAAGAAGCACCUAUAAUUUAUUGCACCAUAAGAAAUGUUGGAGGAAAGGUAAAUCCUGUGUGGACUUUAGAAGAAUUGGAAUGGCAUACUGUCCAUCCCUUUUUAUCUUUUGUCUUCCCUGGACUCAGCAAAAUCUCUAACAUACACAACCACCCACAUUUGGCUGGCCCUUAUGUGUUAAAAUUUAAAUGCUGUUUUAAACCCAAAAUAUCUCUUUUAUCUUGUUUUUAUUGAGAAAAAGAAGUUACAUUUGAAGCAUAUGUGUUGUCUUGCAACCACCAGUGGGAGAAUAUGCAAAUCUUGUUUUCUUGCUUUGAUUUUUAUACACUGAGGUUGUUUAGAUUUUAAGGCCUUGGCAGGCGGUGGGUAAGUACAUGUUGUGCAUCUACUAUAUACAACAUUUGUGACUAUGUAAAAAUUGCCAUCACACAUGAGCCAUCUAGCUAUUAAAACGCCAUUUCAUGCUGUAUUAAUGACAUUCAUUCACACAUGGAAUGUAAGUCUGUGCUGGCCGGCAUCGUGCCCUUGUUGUCAAAGAGCUACGGUUCCUAGUCUUCGUUAUUUACAGAUCAGGAAUAAAGAAGCCAACAAUAUGUAGAAAUUUGCUCCAUUGAGGAAUAAUUCUAAUUAGGGGCAUGAUUAAUAAAGACUUUCAGAUAAGCUCCUCAUUUUUGCCUUGAAGAAAGAAUGAUAACUUCCUCUGUUUUCCAGUGCAUGAAUUCACUUACACCCUUUGUUCUGAAAAGAAUUUGAUGGAAGGUGAGAAAAAUAGGGUAUAAUUCUUUUUUUCAGUUGAAACAUGGGUAUUCAAUUUAGUUAUUAAGAUAAAGCCCGGAUGGGUUUAAUCAACAGAAUUCUCACCUUGAGGUCUUUUUGUGUUUUCUUACAUGCUGCCAUUUAGUUGGCCUUGAGCUUUUUUGUUAGUACGUACAGAGAACUCUGAUUAGUUGAAUCAGUGGUUCUCAAACAGGAGUGGUUUUCCCCCAAGGGACAUUUGACAAUGUCUGUAGAUAUUUUUGGUUAUCACGACUGGUAGAUGUGUGUGUGGGAGAUUGCUCCUAGCAUCUCAUAGAGGCCACCUAUAGGGUUAAACAUCCCACAAGCACAAGACAGUCCACCACAUUCAACAACUCACCAGCCCAGGUUUCAAGUAGAGCCAAGGUUAGAAACCCUAAACUGAAUGAAUCAUUGUUUUUACAGUCACACUAGCAGUUACCUGAAACUUGAGAGAGAUUUUCCUGAGUCCAGUAUAUUGAACAAUGUUCUGCAUACCACCCUUAAACUAAAGGAACAAGGUUGUGGUUACUAGCUAAUUACGAUAUGGUUUGUAGUAGGUAACUGAUGGACAAUAAUGAAGAAAAGGUGGACUCUGAGUAGUAUUACACAAAAUAUUAGUACAAUUGUUGGAACAAAAAUACAAACUUUUUUAAAUAAAAAAACUUUCAAAGAAAUGACAAACCACACAGUGAAAGACUAUUUAUGUAAAAGCUUCUUAUGUUAAAGAAUAACAUCACAUAACCAUAAGACAUAAAUACCUGUGGGAAAAAGAAUAGGAUAGAGGAAGCAGAGUGGACUUAAACUACCUAGUUUCAUAGGACUUUUGUAGGACGUAUACUAUACUACUGGACUUAUACUACCUAGUUUCAUAUAUUUGACAUCGGAACCUUACUAUGUUUUCCAUAAUUAUAAAACAAUCCAAUUUUAAUUUUUAAAAUAAAUGUUUUAAAUAAAUGUUACUAUCCAUAAUAAAAUGUUAACAGGUAAUGAUUCUUAAAUGAAUAUGAAAUACCUAAAUAUAAAUAUAUAUCUAGUUGGUGGCCUUAACAUACCAGGGGUAACUAUUUUAAGUAACUUUACAGCACAGUAAUUUGUCCAACUGAGGUUAGAUGUAUCCUAAGGAAAAAAGCAAACAAGAACCCUGCAACUGUUGGUUGGUGUUGUUAAUCUUGGAUUCUUAGGUGGGUGUUAUGGGGUGAAGGAAAUGAGGAAUUGCAGUGUUUCAAUUCUGUCAUUCCCGUUGUCAUUGAGGAGCCAGGAUUCUUAGCAUAGACUUAAAGGGACACAAAUGAAUGUUAGUGGAGAAUAUAUGAAAAUUUUAUAGUCUUUAAUUUUUAUUUCUUUAAAAAAAGAACGUGGAUGGAAUAGUCCUGUAUGUGUUCACUGAAACUGCCUAGAAUCAGUGACCAACCCAUUAACUCACAUUUCUCACAUCCAAACUGUGCUCUGGAAAUAACAUCUCCCAUUAAAAGAGAAUAGAGCUCCUUAGAGAAAUACAUGAAUUCAGGUCUGGACAGGAAAUGAAUGAGAUGACCUUGGAUUAUCAUGUCAUAUUAGCAAACCCCAGGACACUAUGAGAGGUUACUAGUUGGUGUUGGCGGGCCUGGGAGCUGACAUGAUGUGCCCGUUGGCCAACAGUGGGACAACUGGAACAUCAAGGAUAGUAACAGCAAUAAACAUGUGCAUGGAUAAUAAGUAAAUAAGCCCUUGAGUGAGGUAAAGGAUGCAAGUGAACCAAUUAUUGGAAAACUGUUGAUGUAAGAAAAGAAUGAGUCAUCUAUUCUGCAUUUUCUAUAUGAGUGGUAUCACUGGAUAACCAAAUAGUAGAUGAAAGUUACUUUUUAAUAAGUAUCCCAGGUAAUAAAUGAAGAUUAAUAAUAAUAGAAUAUUACUAUUUUGCAACUCCUGAUGAAAUAAUGGACUUAGGUAUUGAUCAUUGCUGUGGUCUUAGUAUGUCCCCCUCCCCACCCCAAAUUUUGUGUGCUGGAAAUAUAACCCCCCCAGUGCAGCAGUGUGAAGAAGUGUGGCCUGAUGGAAGGUGGUUAGGUCAUAAAGGCUCUCGUGACAAAAGGGAUGUGAGGGAGCCCCACUCUUCCUUUCCACUCUUCUGCCAUGUGAGGACAUCAUGUUCAUCCUCUCCUUCCCUUCUGCCUUCCUCUGUGUGAGGACGCGGUCAGAAGGCCCUCAGCAGGUACCAACAUCUUGAUCUCGAACAUCCCAGCCUCCAGAACUACCAGAGCAUAAAUUCCCCUUGUUUGUAAAUUACUCAGUCUCGUGUAUUCUGUUACAGCAGCACAAAAUGAACUAAGACAGUUAUCAGCCACUGCUAACAUAAAAUAAAAGUGACAAAGGAGAGACACCCAGGCACUGUGUGCCUCCUGAUGGAGGAGCACGACACCUCCUACAAGGUAGCCUCGACAAAAGAAAUUAACCAUGAGUCUGAUCAAACACCUAGAUCCUACUGCCAAUUCACAGGAAAUACAGAGCACUACGAAGUGUGUUAACACCACAGGGGACGCAGCGUGACGCAGCCAGCCAGUCAAGACGGUGGGAAACUGUAUAAGACAAAUGGCCCACGUUCUUCCAACGGAGUAGCCAACGGCCUGGAGAGAACAUGCCCAAGUUUUAUUGUGACUACUGUGACAUGUACCUCACCCAUGAUUCUCCAUCUGCGAGAAAGACACACUGUAAUGGUAGGAAACACAAGGAAAAUGUGAAAGACUACUAUCAGAAAUGGAUGGAAGAGCAGGCUCAGAGCCUGAUUGACAAAACAACAGCUCCAUUUCAACAAGGAAAAAUACCUCCUACUCCAUUCUCUGCUCCUCCUCCUGCAGGGGCGAUGAUUCCACCUCCCCCCAGUCUUCCGGGUCCUCCUCACCCUGGUAUGAUGCCAGCACCUUAUAUGGGGGGCCCUCCUCCUCCAGGAAUGAUGCCAGUGAGACCUGCUCCUCAAAUGAGGCCACCCAUGGGAGGCCACAUGCCAAUGAUGCCUAGGCCCCCAAUGAUGAGACCUCCCGCCCAUUCCAUGAUGGUGCCCACUGGGCCUGGAAUGACUCGACCAGACAGAUAAGGAUAGAGGGGAGGUCUCCUUAUGUCAGUUUUAUAUUACUUGUUCUGCUUCACCAGGAGAUCAUGGUACUGUGACUCUGGGUCACAGUAUUGUGUGACCCAGUAAGGAAUACUGGGUCAAGUAUUCCUUAACAUAAGGAAGACUUGCUCCCCCUUGCUAUCAAAGAGAAUAGUUUUGAAGGGAAGAAGUAGAACCAAAAAAGGGCAGUUUUUAUUUGUAUUGUGAAAUGUGAAAAUAAAAUUGUCAACUCUUUCAGUUAAAAAAAAA